AGAAAUUUGGUUGUGCUCGAGUGUCAGUGUUGGUUCGUCUGUAGUAGUCGAGCGUAGCAGAGUUGCAACACAAUAGUAUCACAAAGACGGCACACUAGGAUGAUCAUGGAAGCUCGUAGGAAAGUUAUGUAUCAAGUGUUGGUCGAACAUGCCUUUUAAAGAGUAUUAAAGGCACCUCCAUCUGCAAAUUUAAUCUUGUAAACUUUGGCCUCUUAUCAGCUCCGAUGACUACUGUUUCGUUCCAAAGUACAUCUAAUGCACCUUCGAGGUGCCUCCAGUGCAUUCCAGGAUGCUUUCGCUCAAAUCUAUGCACAGGCACCUCCAUUAGGUCCAGGAUGCCUCUGCGCACCUCGGAGGUUGGUGAAGUUUGCUCCACAUUGCUAAAAAUAUCAGCCUGGGCCGCCUGCUGAGUUCUAGUUCAUCGGCGUUUUCGUUAAAGUGUCUUAUGAUGAGACGUUCAUAAUCAUGUCAGUAAGUACUUUUACUUGGCAAAACACAAGCCGAUAAUGACCAAUUAUGAGCUGAAAAACACAAGCAGUGAGUUAACAAUGACUAAUGAUGUAAGUUGAAGGAAUAAAGUGCAGAGAGAAUUUGUUGUAUUAUUUUGUUUUAAAAAAUUAAUUAAUCACUUUUAUUAAAAAGUGUAGUAUAUUAUUUGUAUGCCAUUAUUUUCAUAUAGGAAUAUAUUUUACAUUUUCAGUUGCA